AGCAGCAGGAGCAGCAGGAGCAGCAGCAGCAGCAGGAGCAGCAGCAGAAGCAGGAGCAGCAGCAGAAGCAGGAGCAGCAGCAGGCUCCCUCCCUGAGCCGAGCCUGUAUCGAUAUCAGUUUAGGACUCCACCCCUCAUUCUAAAAAGGCCCCAGUCACAAGGAGUCGUAACCUUGCAGAGGUUGAGAGCUGUCUGAAGACGGAGGAAAGAAAAUCUCCAGGCGCCGAGCACAACUGCUCCGUGUACGUCAGUCUUCACAGACCCCAGCACCACUUCUGCCCAAGAACACCCGGGAAGGCAGACACCCCCAAGGCUAUGAUACAGAUGAGAUGAAUGGCAAUCUGCAUUAACCACAGGCUGAUCAACCCCCCUGGAAUGUUUGCUGAAAAGCAAGGCAGGGGAGGUUGGCCCAUGAAGGAGCCCUAUCGCCAGCCAUCAGCAAAGGCCAGACCUGGUGGAGACUGGGAGGCAUGCCUGGCAGCCCAGAGACCUUGUGAGCUUUCUAGGUGCUUCCAGCUCAUGGUGAGGCAAGGGAGCCAGUCCCGUGUGUGUGUGUGUGUGUGUGUGUGUGUGUGUGUGUGUGUGUGUGUGAUGUGCACAGUCCCUGGUGGAUAGCACCCCUACCACAUCUAUGACCUUGGCACUAAAGUGAAACUCCUUUGUGGACAAAUGACAUGAGCUUUAAUAAGGAGUUUACCUCAUCAAAUGGCCUGCUUAGGGCGGUGAGAAGGAGCCCAGAUGAAUCUCUCUUGAAUGGACAAAUGCUUUUGUGUAGGUGGAGGUAGGCUAGGUUCUGGAACUGCCCCGGCCAUCCCCUCUCUUGUGGCCCCCUUCUCUGGUUUCUUUGUGCUGCUGCAGGUGGACUCCACGGUCUUUUACCUGUUAGGCAAGUGCCCCACCACCAAGCUACAUCCCAGCCUCUGGUGGAAUUUUCUUAAGUCAGAAAGUCCAGGAAAUACUUCAGAUAGACAACAGAACCUAAUAUUUGUCCAUAUUGACAAUCCCCAACCCACCAACCAACCAACAAACUAACCAACCUGCUGAAUCAUUCACCCACCCACCCACCAACCAACCAACCAACCAACCAUCCAUCUGAAUCACAAACCAAACAGCUGAAUCACAAAACAAGUACCAGCUGAACCACAAACAAACCACCCAAACAACUGAACUAUCAACCAAUCAAACAAAUAGACAAACAACUAAUAGAACAACUAACCAACUAACCAACCAACCAACUAACCAAUGGACCGAGUAACCAAUCCACCAACUAACUAACCAAUGGACUGAGUAACCAAUCCACCAACUAACCAACUGAUCAACUAACCAACCAACGGAAUAGCUAACUAACUGCACAACCAAUCAUCCAAUUAACUGAGCUAUCAACCAAUUAACCAACCAAUCCACCAGCCAACUGAAUCAUUAACCAACCAACCAAUCAACCAACCAAACAUGCCAGCAACUAGGUAGCCAAAGCAACAACCGAGAAGUAAAACCACUAAUCUAAAUAUUUACUGGGUUGAAAAGAAAUCCCCUCUUCCUGUGUUUCUGUUCUUCGGCACCCCCUUUCCCCCUAACCUGAGGAGUCCUGUUAAUGCUCCUUAGACGCCUCCUCUGCUGGGCCAUCCCACCACCGCUCGAGUCCAUCCCUCUAGAUAUUGCUCUGCCGGGCACCUCUGUCCCUUGCACGACUGCCCACGAGC